UGGGGUACCAGCCUAGUCAUGCAGGUCGAUCGAACUCUGGUAUUGAUUGGUGCUUGCAUCAUGAUUUACAUUUGAGUGAGUGGCGAACUGGUGAGUAACACGUGGGAAACCUGCCCAGAAGCGGGGGAUAACACCUGGAAACAGAUGCUAAUACCGCAUAACAACUUGGACCGCAUGGUCCGAGCUUGAAAGAUGGCUUCGGCUAUCACUUUUGGAUGGUCCCGCGGCGUAUUAGCUAGAUGGUGGGGUAACGGCUCACCAUGGCAAUGAUACGUAGCCGACCUGAGAGGGUAAUCGGCCACAUUGGGACUGAGACACGGCCCAAACUCCUACGGGAGGCAGCAGUAGGGAAUCUUCCACAAUGGACGAAAGUCUGAUGGAGCAACGCCGCGUGAGUGAAGAAGGGUUUCGGCUCGUAAAACUCUGUUGUUAAAGAAGAACAUAUCUGAGAGUAACUGUUCAGGUAUUGACGGUAUUUAACCAGAAAGCCACGGCUAACUACGUGCCAGCAGCCGCGGUAAUACGUAGGUGGCAAGCGUUGUCCGGAUUUAUUGGGCGUAAAGCGAGCGCAGGCGGUUUUUUAAGUCUGAUGUGAAAGCCUUCGGCUCAACCGAAGAAGUGCAUCGGAAACUGGGAAACUUGAGUGCAGAAGAGGACAGUGGAACUCCAUGUGUAGCGGUGAAAUGCGUAGAUAUAUGGAAGAACACCAGUGGCGAAGGCGGCUGUCUGGUCUGUAACUGACGCUGAGGCUCGAAAGUAUGGGUAGCAAACAGGAUUAGAUACCCUGGUAGUCCAUACCGUAAACGAUGAAUGCUAAGUGUUGGAGGGUUUCCGCCCUUCAGUGCUGCAGCUAACGCAUUAAGCAUUCCGCCUGGGGAGUACGGCCGCAAGGCUGAAACUCAAAGGAAUUGACGGGGGCCCGCACAAGCGGUGGAGCAUGUGGUUUAAUUCGAAGCUACGCGAAGAACCUUACCAGGUCUUGACAUACUAUGCAAAUCUAAGAGAUUAGACGUUCCCUUCGGGGACAUGGAUACAGGUGGUGCAUGGUUGUCGUCAGCUCGUGUCGUGAGAUGUUGGGUUAAGUCCCGCAACGAGCGCAACCCUUAUUAUCAGUUGCCAGCAUUAAGUUGGGCACUCUGGUGAGACUGCCGGUGACAAACCGGAGGAAGGUGGGGAUGACGUCAAAUCAUCAUGCCCCUUAUGACCUGGGCUACACACGUGCUACAAUGGAUGGUACAACGAGUUGCGAACUCGCGAGAGUAAGCUAAUCUCUUAAAGCCAUUCUCAGUUCGGAUUGUAGGCUGCAACUCGCCUACAUGAAGUCGGAAUCGCUAGUAAUCGCGGAUCAGCAUGCCGCGGUGAAUACGUUCCCGGGCCUUGUACACACCGCCCGUCACACCAUGAGAGUUUGUAACACCCAAAGUCGGUGGGGUGACCUUGUGGAGCCACGGGUACCCGCCUAGUAACGUUCCCCG
rnacentral:rRNA from 1 species